GCCUCGGCUCAUCACAUCACUACUGGAUCUUUAACUACUUUUUCAUUCCAACCUCUGAGGGGGGCGGAGCCAGAGCUGCUUCAUCUUCAGCAUCUUCAUGUGUGAAAACAAGCUGCAGAUGAUCUCAGCAGAGAAAUUCAGAUGAAGCAUCAUCAGUCAGAUGAAACUCCUGCAGAGUUCAGAGCUGAGAUCAGCUUCAGUCUCACAUGAUGGAGAAUUAUCAGUGAACUUCUUGAUUUCUGCUGCAGAUCCUCAGUGAAGCAGCUGUUCAACCUUUAAAGGUUCAUUCCUGACUUCCUGCAGCUUCUAGAAAACAUCAGAGGUUUUUCCCAGACUGAGCUCAGAUCAUCCAGGAGCUAUUUUUACCUGAACGUCAUCAGAGCCGAGCUGAUGAUCCAGAACCGGAUCAAAGUGGAGUGAGAUCAGCUUCCUGAAGCUGUUUAAAGUCAGACCUCGUGUUUCAACCAGCAGCUUCAUCAUCUAAAGGUUUCCACCUGAUCUCUGACUCUGAAGCUGCUCUCUGUGACACAAACGUUUCGUUUCUGAGUGAAUCUCUCAGGCUGGAUGUUGGAACGAGGAGCUGUGAAGGAUAUUUGUGAAACGGUUGACUGACAGGAAGGAAUCUGCUCUGAUUAAAACCUGCUGCAUGAUGGGAAGUUUUCAGGACAGAACAUCUCCAGAUGAACCUGAGGUUGAUCUUUGAAUCUUGUUGCUCUUCUUUGAGGAUCAGAGCUCCAGUUCUGUCUGAACCAUCAGAGUUUAUCUCUAAAGUCUGUUGAACUUGUCAGAUCAUUGGUUGGUCUCUGAUCGGCUCCUUGGUGGAGAUGGAAAUGAGGCAAAAACCAAAUAAAACUCAAACUCUGGUUUUAAUGUUGAUCUUUUCACCAGAACAGUUGAAAUGAAGAAACUCAGGAUCUCCUCCUGCUGAAGCCAUGAAGAAAAAA